rnacentral:rRNA from 1 species
ACGGGUGAGUAACACGUAAGGAACCUGCCUCAAGGAUUGGGAUAACUCCGAGAAAUCGGAGCUAAUACCGGAUAGUUCAACGGACCGCAUGGUCCGCUGAUGAAAGGCGCUCCGGCGUCACCUUGAGAUGGCCUUGCGGUGCAUUAGCUAGUUGGUGGGGUAACGGCCCACCAAGGCGACGAUGCAUAGCCGACCUGAGAGGGUGAUCGGCCACACUGGGACUGAGACACGGCCCAGACUCCUACGGGAGGCAGCAGUAGGGAAUCUUCCACAAUGGACGAAAGUCUGAUGGAGCAACGCCGCGUGAGUGAUGAAGGUUUUCGGAUCGUAAAACUCUGUUGUAAGGGAAGAACACGUACGAGAGGGAAUGCUCGUACCUUGACGGUACCUUACGAGAAAGCCACGGCUAACUACGUGCCAGCAGCCGCGGUAAUACGUAGGUGGCAAGCGUUGUCCGGAAUUAUUGGGCGUAAAGCGCGCGCAGGCGGCCUUUUAAGUCUGAUGUGAAAGCCCCCGGCUCAACCGGGGAGGGCCAUUGGAAACUGGAAGGCUUGAGUACAGAAGAGAAG